rnacentral:rRNA from 1 species
UACGUAGGGGGCAAGCGUUGUCCGGAUUUAUUGGGCGUAAAGAGCGUGUAGGCGGCUUGGUAGGUCCGCUGUGAAAACUCGAGGCUCAACCUCGAGAUGUCGGCGGAAACCACUUGGCUAGAGUCCGGAAGAGGAGAGUGGAAUUCCCGGUGUAGCGGUGAAAUGCGCAGAUAUCGGGAAGAACACCUAUGGCGAAGGCAGGUCUCUGGGCCAUAACUGACGCUGAGAAGCGAAAGCAUGGGGAGCGAACAGG